CAGUUCAUCAUACACUAAAAUUCUAGGAUUUGUAAAAACACCCUUUGAUAAGAUAUCAGUUAGUUCCCUUCAGGGAGCCCCAGAAUAUCCAAAGAUUUCCAGGACUGAUUGGAUGUCUUUCAUGUUUUCAAUAAUUGGGGGUCAUAAGGGGACAAUUAGGGAACCAAUCAUGAAAAACUACUGAUAACACAUGCAUCCACUGCCUCUUACCAGAACUCCAAUUACUGAUCAUCUUCCACAUGCUAAUACCAACACUGCCCUCAACUACCCUGCAACUCAGAUCCUUAAUACUCAAUAAAUAAAAAUUUCAUAAUGUUUCCCCAAGUUUUGUAAUUUUUUUUCUCCGUCUGAAAUCAGCAGAGAAAAUGUAAUUUUCCUUGCAAGAAAGGCUGCGCUAGAAUGGUUAAGUGUUUCGUGAAAUUAACUGCAUAUUACAAGAAAACAAGAGGGUGAUGCUCUAGCUAUAAAUAGUUGGCAUUCCAUCAUUAGAUCUCAGUGAUAAGACCAGAGCACCUCUCCAUCCCUCCAUCUGCACAUGCAAGAUUCCACUCAACUAGUGGACCUAUAUCACUGGAUCAAAGCUAAAAUGGCGGAAGCUGAUUGAAAGUGACGUCACCCCGGAAGUGUAUUUGAUACCUGUUAAUCUAGGGGGACGUGUCAACAUCUAUUUGAUGAGAACAGUUUUCGACAGUGCCAUGCCGAAAUAGUUCGGACUCCUAACAAUACAAUUAUAUCUUAUGUUUUCACUCAUUUUGUAUUAAAUUUUAUUGUUAAAAUACUA